rnacentral:rRNA from 1 species
UACGGAGGGUGCAAGCCUUGAUCGGAAUUACUGGGCGUAAAGGGCGCGUAGGCGGAUAGGAAAGUCAGAUGUGAAAUUCCGGGGCUCAACCUCGGAGCUGCAUUUGAAACUGUCUAUCUAGAGUUCAGUUAGGGAAAACGGAAUUCCACGUGUAGCGGUGAAAUGCGUAGAUAUGUGGAAGAACACCGGUGGUGAAGACGGUUUUCUGGGCUGAUACUGACGCUGAGGCGCGAAAGCAAGGGGAGCAAACAGG